UUCCGGUUGAUCCUGCCAGAGGUUACUGCUAUCGGAGUUCGAUUAAGCCAUGCGAGUCUAAAGGUUUCUUCGGAAACCUUGGCGGACUGCUCAGUAACACGUGGAUAACCUACCCUUGGGACUGGAAUAACCCCGGGAAACUGGGGAUAAUACCGGAUAGAUCAGGGAUGCUGGAAUGCGCCUUGAUCCAAAGCUCCGGCGCCCAAGGAUGGGUCUGCGGCCUAUCAGGUAGUAGUGGGUGUAACGUACCUACUAGCCAACGACGGGUACGGGUUGUGAGAGCAAGAGCCCGGAGAUGGAUUCUGAGACACGAAUCCAGGCCCUACGGGGUGCAGCAGGCGCGAAACCUUUACAAUGUGCGAAAGCAUGAUAAGGGAACUCCGAGUGCCAGUAUCUAAUACUGGCUGUCCUUGUGCCUAAAACGCACAAGAUAGCAAGGGCCGGGUAAGACCGGUGCCAGCCGCCGCGGUAACACCGGCGGCCCGAGUGGUAGCCGCUAUUAUUGGGUCUAAAGGGUCCGUAGCCGGGUCGAUAAGUCCUCUGGGAAAUCUGGUUGCUUAACAAUCAGACUGCCAAGGGAUACUGKCGAACUUGAGACCGGGAGAGGUAAGAGGUACUUCAGGGGUAGGAGUGAAAUCUUGUAAUCCCUGGGGGACCAUCUGUGGCGAAGGCGUCUUACCAGAACGGGUCUGACGGUGAGGGACGAAAGCUGGGGGCGCAAACCGGAUUAGAUACCCGGGUAGUCCCAGCCGUAAACGAUGCUCGCUAUGUGUCAGGUACGGUGUGACCGUAUCUGGUGCCGUAGGGAAGCCGUGAAGCGAGCCACCUGGGAAGUACGGCCGCAAGGCUGAAACUUAAAGGAAUUGGCGGGGGAGCACUACAACGGGUGGAGCCUGCGGUUUAAUUGGAUUCAACGCCGGGAA
rnacentral:rRNA from 1 species